ensembl:lncRNA
GAGACAAUUCUUUUAUAUCAUUGACUCAAAGUUUGCUGAGGAACAAGUCCAGGCAAGUCCUGGGCAAAGGCAGAGAAAUCUUUUGUCUUGAGGACACUGAUGGACAGGUCCUGGCUAAGGAUUGUGAAAUCCUUUAAGGAGCACAGAUGGACAAGGCCAGGGGCAUCGAGAGAGAGAUAAGCUGCCGCUAAUGGCCGGGAAACGGUCUUUUUGUGUGGACUUAUCUCAAGGAAAAUGGCCAUCUCAGGAGGUAUGCACAGGACUCUUGCUCAAGCACCCAGGAAUGUCAUGUAGGCAGCAGAAAAUGGAGGAUAAAAGAGGGUCCAACAACCACGGCGAUGGUAGAGGCUUAUCUUCUCACCACGACAGACUUGAGGGGUUCUCUGCCAUCUGAUCCUUCACCACAACGUGGAGGCUGAUCUCUCACCGCAACGUGGAGACUGAUCUCUCAUCGCAACGUGGAGACUGAUCUCUCACCGCAACGUGGAGACUGAUCUCUCAUCGCAACAUGGAGACUGAUCUCUCACCACAACGUGGAGACUGAUCUCUCACCGCAACACAGAGGCUGAUCUCUCAUGAUCUCUCACCACGACACGAGCUUUCUGCCUUCAGAUCCUUCUCUACGGACCGUUUGCUGACAGACUUCCCUGGCCCUGCUACCUGAGACCUGCUGCUUCCUCCCUG